GACAUGCCAGGAACUUGCCAGAGAUGGCUUGGUGCCGAAAGGGAGCCUGGACACAGGUGCUGCAUGGCUGUCGUCAGCUCGUGUCGUGAGAUGUUGGGUUAAGUCCCGCAACGAGCGCAACCCUUGUCAUUAGUUGCUACAUUCAGUUGGGCACUCUAAUGAGACUGCCGGUGACAAGCCGGAGGAAGGUGGGGAUGACGUCAAGUCCUCAUGGCCCUUAUAGGUGGGGCUACACACGUCAUACAAUGGCUGGUACAAAGGGUUGCCAACCCGCGAGGGGGAGCUAAUCCCAUAAAGCCAGUCGUAGUCCGGAUCGUAGUCUGCAACUCGACUACGUGAAGUCGGAAUCGCUAGUAAUCGUGGAUCAGAAUGUCACGGUGAGUACGUUCCCGGGUCUU
rnacentral:rRNA from 1 species